CUUGCUUCUCUUGAGAGCGGCGGACGGGUGAGUAAUGCCUAGGAAUCUGCCUGGUAGUGGGGGAUAACGUUCGGAAACGGACGCUAAUACCGCAUACGUCCUACGGGAGAAAGCAGGGGACCUUCGGGCCUUGCGCUAUCAGAUGAGCCUAGGUCGGAUUAGCUAGUUGGUGGGGUAAUGGCUCACCAAGGCGACGAUCCGUAACUGGUCUGAGAGGAUGAUCAGUCACACUGGAACUGAGACACGGUCCAGACUCCUACGGGAGGCAGCAGUGGGGAAUAUUGGACAAUGGGCGAAAGCCUGAUCCAGCCAUGCCGCGUGUGUGAAGAAGGUCUUCGGAUUGUAAAGCACUUUAAGUUGGGAGGAAGGGUUGUAGAUUAAUACUCUGCAAUUUUGACGUUACCGACAGAAUAAGCACCGGCUAACUCUGUGCCAGCAGCCGCGGUAAUACAGAGGGUGCAAGCGUUAAUCGGAAUUACUGGGCGUAAAGCGCGCGUAGGUGGUUUGUUAAGUUGGAUGUGAAAUCCCCGGGCUCAACCUGGGAACUGCAUUCAAAACUGACUGACUAGAGUAUGGUAGAGGGUGGUGGAAUUUCCUGUGUAGCGGUGAAAUGCGUAGAUAUAGGAAGGAACACCAGUGGCGAAGGCGACCACCUGGACUAAUACUGACACUGAGUGCGAAAGCGUGGGGAGCAAACAGGAUUAGAUACCCUGGUAGUCCACGCCGUAAACGAUGUCAACUAGCCGUUGGAAGCCUUGAGCUUUUAGUGGCGCAGCUAACGCAUUAAGUUGACCGCCUGGG
rnacentral:rRNA from 1 species